rnacentral:rRNA from 1 species
GACGAACGCUGGCGGCGUGCCUAAUACAUGCAAGUUGAGCGCUGAAGGUUGGUACUUGUACCGACUGGAUGAGCAGCGAACGGGUGAGUAACGCGUGGGGAAUCUGCCUUUGAGCGGGGGACAACAUUUGGAAACGAAUGCUAAUACCGCAUAAAAACUUUAAACACAAGUUUUAAGUUUGAAAGAUGCAAUUGCAUCACCCAAAGAUGAUCCCGCGUUGUAUUAGCUAGUUGGUGAGGUAAAGGCUCACCAAGGCGAUGAUACAUAGCCGACCUGAGAGGGUGAUCGGCCACAUUGGGACUGAGACACGGCCCAAACUCCUACGGGAGGCAGCAGUAGGGAAUCUUCGGCAAUGGACGAAAGUCUGACCGAGCCACGCCGCGUGAGUGAAGAAGGUUUUCGGAUCGUAAAACUCUGUUGGUAGAGAAGAACGUUGGUGAGAGUGGAAAGCUCAUAAAGUGACGGUAACUACCCAGAAAGGGACGGCUAACUACGUG